AUCAACUUCAGAGCUGGGUGUACCUCCAAUGUUGUUUCUCUUGGCGAGGGCUUUUCGAAAGCAUUUUCCUACAAAUCCCUGGAAAUGGUUGAAAUUGGCACAGAAUCACCCCUGCGUCUUAGAAACAAACCGAAUGGGUAUUUUCUCAUAACCAAGUUAAAAGUUAAACCAAAUCAUGUCUCCCAGACUGAUCCGUGACUGUCAGGAGCUGGCCAUCACUGUUGUCAAGCCAGUAACUGUGAAUGCUUGAGUCUUUACCAACACGAGUUGGCAUUAAAGCUGUGUGGGUCUCAAGUGCCUGAUAAGAUUCUGCUGGAAAAAGAACCUAAGGCAGGGACCCAAGUUUAAUCCAUUCCCCACACGAACCAAAUGGUAGAGACAUCAAUUCUCAACUCAACUGCUUUUAUCAACUACAACGUACCACUCUGCAACCACCUGGAACCCUACUUUUUUACAACCGCCUGGAACUUUAUCAGUGCUGGGAAUUAGGUUUGCAUACUGACGCGACAGCCUUCUGCACGGCAUGACUUCGGUGACAGACUUCCUGUCCACGGUCUCGUUUCUCCUCUUCAAAUGGAUGUCAAGAUUACAAGACAACUGGAGGAACAGCGCUGACCCGGUUAAGACUAAGUACUCCCUGCAACGCACCAGAACAGAGAUCGCUGCUCAGGGGUGCUGAGUUUUUCUCCACUUCUUAUGACCAUUGAUACGGUCUUACAGUAUUAAAGCUUUUGUUAUUUGUGAUUUAAUAAAAUAGCAUCGCAUAUAGUAAGCUUCUUUUUGUCCACAUUUCCACCUACUGGGAUAUUCAAACAAGCGGAAAUGUUUGCAGAACAGAACAAUACCAGAACUGAACCAUACCAGAUAUUUGCACAGACUCUUGAUCAUAGGAAGAAAUGUAGCGCUGUGAGAAAUGAAGUGUCCCCUUAAACUCACUCCAACUUGGGUGAUGCUGGUUACCUAGUUCUCAGUAGACUUCAGGAAAGUUUUCAAUUUCUUAGAAAGUGGGAAGGUAAUCAGGCUUGGGGGGGGGGGGUGGGGAGCCCUCAACACCUCCCUCUGCAUCUGCACUCCCGUGGAGGUUGAUGGGAAAGUGCUCCACAAUGGCUAUCUAGGGUCAUAUUCUGGGUUCCAGGUUCCAGGGAAGCAACGAAGAAAACACACUUUCUUCAGAGCCUUCUGGCUGCAUCCACCAGAGGGGGGAAGGGGGAAUCACAAGAAUUCAAAGCAGACAAAGUUUUCAAGGAAUAAACACUGUGAAUUUUACCAUAAGCAUUGUUUGUGCUUUACAAUGUCUCUUGAGAUUGGGAAACUACAAAACCCACACAAAUUAUUCAGAGUCACCCAACAGCCCAAAGUAUUUUCUGAUUUGAUGUGUACUGUGUUAAGCAAAAUAUAUAACUAAGUUAUCAACGUUAAGUCAAAAUCACCUAUUUCGCUAGUGGAUAGAGUGACAGUCAAAGCAGGGGACAUAAAUAAACACCAGUUUACUUAUACUUGUUAACAUAAUCCUUAACCAUUCUUUUAAAAAAAAAUGGGGUAGGGGCGCCUGGGUGGCUCAGUCGGUUGGGCGUCUGCCUUCGGCUCAGGUCAUGAUCUCAUGGUUUGUGAGUUUGAGCCUGAGUCAGGCUCCACGCUGUCAGGCUCCAUGGAUCCUACUUGGGAUUCUUCUCUCUCUCCCUCUCUCUCUACCCCUCCCCUGCUCACGUGUGCACAUGCUCUCGCUCUCUCUCAAAAUAAACACUUUUUUUAAGUUUUAAGAAGAUAGCUGCCCCAACACAGGAGUGAUAUCCGUUUCCCAAAUUAAAAUCUCCCCACAAGAUAGAAGUCUCAAGAUCAGCUCACCUGCGCUCUGACGCCACCUCUAGAGGUGAGGACGCGCACAGGUUUUAAACGAUGUCACGCAAGCAGGCGGACCACCCAGGGCAGGAUCUGGCCAAAGCCAAACACCAAGCCCAUUCCUCUAGAAAACAUGCCAUCUCCUAUUAGACCAAAAAACUGAAAUUACAGCCUAAAGCACAGGUCAACAACUACAGAGACGCACAGACAUAGGAAUUCAUUUUAUUUCUACAACAAAGUGACGCAAAUACAACUAUAUUUUUAGCUUGUUUUCUUUUCCAAUUACUACCCCCAUUGGCAAAAAACGCAACAACUCCACGCAUGGGUCUUGUUUUUUGAAACCGAAGACAGGACUUUAUAACUCACUGAUACAGUUCACAUACUAAGCGUGUUUGGGGGGUGAGGCAGAAAUAGUCAGGAAACGUUUUUCUGAAAGUGCACCAGAAAACAUCCCAUUUCGACUCAUCUGGCGGCGAGGACUAACCAGUACAGGAAAAGAGCAGAUCUUUGGCUGCCCCAACAAGACACCUGGUAUCCUUACUCCAUGGCUUCCUACAAAUAUUUUUUUUUUAAUUUUUUUUUUUUAACGUUGAUUUAUUUUUGGGACAGAGAGAGACAGAGCAUGAACGGGGGAGGGGCAGAGAGAGAGGGAGACACAGAAUCGGAAGCAGGCUCCAGGCUCUGAGCCAUCAGCCCAGAGCCCGACGCGGGGCUCGAACUCACGGACCGCGAGAUCGUGACCUGAGCCGAAGUCGGACGCUCAACCGACUGAGCCACCCAGGCGCCCCCAAAUAUUAAGAAGCAGUAAGGGUUUCUUCUCCCUGCUUUCGAUAAUACCCACAGCGCAAACCCUGCUGUUCUGAGGCAAACACACAGGCCCAUGUGUGCAAAAGUGUGAAGUUCAUGUGCCAUCAGAGAGAAACACAAAGGAAGGUGCUGGGAGAGUGGAAGCGUUUUCCAUAAGGCAUCUGAUCCAGAGUUGAAACGCAAUUACCAAGACCCAGUGGGCAGAGCUGUUGGCUGAGCACUUCAGUUAGUGGUGGGGGGCCGGGUGACUAUGGAGGGAAGCACCACAGGUGCCUUUGGGGUGAUAGACUUGUACCGUAUCCAUCUUUUGGUGUUGGUUACACAAAGCUACGCGUGUAGAGAAAUUCACAAAACUGUACACAGGAAGAGAGGAUAAUCAAUCUUAUAGAAUGAUACGAGAAAUUAAAUAUAAAGACAUAUAUAUAAGCAGCAGUGCAAUUUAACUUAAGGUGCGGAGGGGGUGGGGAGGAAGAGAUAAGGAAGAGGAAGCAAGCGCUGGAGACCAUCAUAACUAAUAAAGAUGCAUCUGCACACCCAAUUCCCAACCUCGGAGUGGAGGAAGGUAUCGGCAGGCGGGGCUCCAGGCAGGGUAAUAAUCCGAUCUCCUUUAAUGCCACGAGCCUGAGAAAUAGAU
rnacentral:lncRNA from 1 species